AUUGAACGCUGGCGGCAGGCCUAACACAUGCAAGUCGAGCGGGGUUUUCGGACCUAGCGGCGGACGGGUGAGUAAUGCGUAGGAAGCUGCCCGAUAGAGGGGGAUACCAGUUGGAAACGACUGUUAAUACCGCAUAAUGUCUACGGACUAAAGUGUGGGACCUUCGGGCCACAUGCUAUCGGAUGCGCCUACGUGGGAUUAGCUAGUUGGUGAGGUAAUGGCUCACCAAGGCGACGAUCUAUAGCUGGUUGGAGAGGAUGAUCAGCCACACUGGAACUGAGACACGGUCCAGACUCCUGCGGGAGGCAGCAGGGGGGAGUAUUGGAAAAUGGGCGCAAGCCUGGUCCAGCCAUGCCGCGUGUGUGAAGAAGGCCUUCGGGUUGUAAAGCACUUUCAGCGAGGAGGAAGGGUGGUGUGUUAAUAGCACAUAUUUUGACGUUACUCGCAGAAGAAGCACCGGCUAACUCUGUGCCAGCAGCCGCAGUAA
rnacentral:rRNA from 1 species